AGUAUGAAAUAAAGUUUAACAACAUGGUAAUAGUAUGGAAUAAAUGUUAACAUGGUGAUAGUAUGGAAUAAAGGUUAACAUGGUGAUAGUAUGGAAUAAAGGUUAACAUGGUGAUAGUAUGGAAUAAAGUUUAACAACAUGGUAAUAGUAUGGAAUAAAGGUUAACAUGGUGAUAGUAUGGAAUAAAGGUUAACAUGGUAAUAGUAUGGAAUAAAGGUUAACAUGGUAAUAGUAUGGAAUAAAGGUUAACAUGGUGAUAGUAUGGAAUAAAGGUUAACAUGGUAAUAGUAUGGAAUAAAGGUUAACAUGGUAAUAAUAUGGAAUAAAGGUUAAAAUGGUGAUAGUAUGGAAUAAAGGUUAACAUGGUAAUAGUAUGGAAUAAAGUUUAACAACAUGGUAAUAGUAUGGAAUAAAGGUUAACAUGGUAAUAAUAUGGAAUAAAGGUUAACAACAUGGUAAUAAUAUGGAAUAAAGGUUAACAUGGUGAUAGUAUGGAAUAAAGGUUAACAUGGUGAUAGUAUGGAAUAAAGGUUAACAUGGUAAUAGUAUGGAAUAAAGGUUAACAUGGUAAUAGUAUGGAAUAAAGGUUAACAUGGUAAUAGUAUGGAAUAAAGGUUAACAUGGUAAUAGUAUGGAAUAAAGGUUAACAUGGUAAUAGUAUGGAAUAAAGGUUAACAUGGUAAUAGUAUGGAAUAAAGGUUAACAUGGUGAUAGUAUGGAAUAAA